rnacentral:rRNA from 1 species
GUGGUUGAUCGCGUCGGAAGUGUAAUCUUGGGGCUUAACCCUGAGCGUGCUUUCGAUACGGGUUGACUUGAGGAAGGUAGGGGAGAAUGGAAUUCCUGGUGGAGCGGUGGAAUGCGCAGAUAUCAGGAGGAACACCAGUGGCGAAGGCGGUUCUCUGGGCCUUUCCUGACGCUGAGGAGCGAAAGCGUGGGGAGCGAACAGGCUUAGAUACCCUGGUAGUCCACGCUGUAAACGGUGGGUACUAGGUGUGGGGUCCAUUCCACGGGUUCCGCGCCGUAGCUAACGCUUUAAGUACCCCGCCUGGGGAGUACGGCCGCAAGGCUAAAACUCAAAGGAAUUGACGGGGCCCCGCACAAGCGGCGGAGCAUGCGGAUUAAUUCGAUGCAGCGCGUAGAACCUUACCUGGGUUUGACAUGGAUCGGGAGUGCUCAGAGAUGGGUGUGCCUCUUUUGGGGUCGGUUCACAGGUGGUGCAUGGCUGUCGUCAGCUCGUGUCGUGAGAUGUUGGGUUAAGUCCCGCAACGAGCGCAACCCUUGUUCACUGUUGCCAGCACGUUACGGUGGGGACUCAGUGGAGACCGCCGGGGUCAACUCGGAGGAAGGUGGGGAUGACGUCAAGUCAUCAUGCCCCUUAUGUCCAGGGCUUCACGCAUGCUACAAUGGCUGGUACAGAGAGUGGCGAGCCUGUGAGGGUGAGCGAAUCUCGGAAAGCCGGUCUCAGUUCGGAUUGGGGUCUGCAACUCGACCUCAUGAAGUCGGAGUCGC